GGCUCCGUGGCGCAAUGGAUAGCGCAUUGGACUUCUAGGCUAAAGCGAAGUGAUUCAAAGGUUGUGGGUUCGAGUCCCACCGGAGUCG